GACGAACGCUGGCGGCGUGCUUAACACAUGCAAGUCGAACGCUGAAGCUCAGCUUUUGUUGGGUGGAUGAGUGGCGAACGGGUGAGUAACACGUGAGUAACCUGCCUCCUUCUUUGGGAUAACGCCCGGAAACGGGUGCUAAUACUGGAUAUUCACUGGUCUUCGCAUGGGGGUUGGUGGAAAGGGUUUUUCUGGUGGGGGAUGGGCUCGCGGCCUAUCAGCUUGUUGGUGGGGUGAUGGCCUACCAAGGCUUUGACGGGUAGCCGGCCUGAGAGGGUGACCGGUCACAUUGGGACUGAGAUACGGCCCAGACUCCUACGGGAGGCAGCAGUGGGGAAUAUUGCACAAUGGGCGCAAGCCUGAUGCAGCGACGCCGCGUGAGGGAUGGAGGCCUUCGGGUUGUGAACCUCCUUCGCUCAUGGUCAAGCCGCAACAAUGGUUGUGGUGAGGGUAGUGGAUAAAGAAGCGCCGGCUAACUACGUG
rnacentral:rRNA from 1 species